rnacentral:tRNA from 1 species
UCCCUUGUGGUCCAGUGGUUAGGAUUCCAUGCUUCCAAUGCCAGGGCCCAGGUUCGAUCCCUGGUUGGGGAA